rnacentral:rRNA from 1 species
GUCGGAAUCGCUAGUAAUCGCGGAUCAGAACGCCGCGGUGAAUACGUUCCCGGGCCUUGUACACACCGCCCGUCACACCAUGGAAGUCUGCAAUGCCCAAAGCCGGUGGCCUAACCUUCGGGAAGGAGCCGUCUAAGGCAGGGCAGAUGACUGGGGUGAAGUCGUAACAAGGUAGCCGUAGGAGAACCUGCGGCUGGAUCACCUCCUUU